rnacentral:rRNA from 1 species
GGCCGCGGGAAUUCGAUUAAAGUUGGAUCAUGGCUCAAAGCGAACGCUGGCGGGUAGCCUAAUACAUGCGAUUCAAACGGCCGCGCAGCGUAGCUUGCUCUGUGCGUGGCGAGUGGCGGACGGGUGAGGAAUACAUGGGAAUCUGCCCAGUCGUGGGGGAUAACGUAUGGAAACGUACGCUAAUACCGCAUGCGCCCUUUGGGGGAAGCGGGGGAUCGCAAGACCUCGCGUUAUUCGAGCGGCCGACGUCUGAUUAGCUAGUUGGUGGGGUAAAGGCUCACCAAGGCGACGAUCAGUAGCGGGUCUGAGAGGAUGAUCCGCCACACUGGGACCGAGACACCGCCCAGACUCCUACGGGAGGCAGCAGUGGGGAAUUUUGGACAAUGGGGGCAACCCUGAUCCAGCCAUUCCGCGUGAGUGAAGGAGGCCUUCGGGUUGUAAAGCUCUUUCAGCUGGAGCGAAACGGUACGCUCUAACAUAGCGUGCUAAUGACGGUACCAGCAGAAGAAGCACCGGCUAACUACGUGCCAGCAGCCGCGGUAAUACGUAGGGUGCGAGCGUUAAUCAGAAUUACUGGGCGUAAAGCGUGCGCAGGCGGAUUGUUAAGCAAGACGUGAAAUCCCCGGGCUUAACCUGGGAAUGGCGUUUUGAACUGGCAGUCUAGAGUGCGUCAGAGGGGGGUGGAAUUCCACGUGUAGCAGUGAAAUGCGUAGAGAUGUGGAGGAACACCGAUGGCGAAGCAGCCCCCUGGGAUGACACUGACGCUCAUGUACGAAAGCGUGGGUAGCAAACAGGAUUAGAUACCCUGGUAGUCCACGCCCUAAACGAUGUCAACUGGGUUGUUGGGGGAGUGAAAUCCCUUAGUAACGAAGCUAACGCGUGAAGUUGACCGCCUGGGGAGUACGGUCGCAAGACUGAAACUCAAGGAAUUGACGGGGCCCGCACAAGCGGGGAAUAUGUGUUUAAUUCGAUGCACGCGAAACCUACUGGCUGACAUGCACGGAAGCUUCAAAAAUGGAGUGGGCUUCGGAACGGGACCAGGGCUGCAUGUUGUCCCCACCUCGGUCGGGAAUUUUGGUAAUCCCCGCCAACCAAG